CCAAAAUGGCACCAGGGGACACUGGGAUGGACAAGUGACACCAAAAUGGCACCAGGAUGGCACCAGGUGACACCAAAAUGGCUCCAGGAUGGCACCAGGUGACAUCAGGGUGGCCCAGGACGUGGCCAGGCGACACCGAAAUGGCACCAAGAUGGCACCAAGAUGGACAGGUGACACUGGGAUGGCAGCAGGUGACACCAGGACAGACUGUGGGCACACGGUGCUGUCCCCAAGGAGCCACCACAGUGACACUGAGAUGUCCCCAAGGAGCCACCACAGUGGCACGAUGCUGUCCUCAAGGGCCACCACAAGGACAACGUGUCCCCAGGGGCCACCACGGUGGCACUGAGAUGUCCCCAAGGAGCCAUCGAGGUGACAGUGGUGUCUCCAAAGGCCACCACGGUGACACUGGGAUGUCCCCAAGGAGCCGCCACCAGCACAACGUGUCCCCAAGGGCCACUGUGGUGACAGUGGUGUCCCCAAGGAUCUGGGUUGGUGGCACCGUGUCCCCAAGGGUCACCACGGUGGCACUGAGAUGUCCCCAAGGAGCCACCACAAGGACAAUCUGUCCCCAAGGGCCACCAUGGUGACAAUAAAAUGUCCCCAAGGAGCCA
ensembl:lncRNA